rnacentral:tRNA from 1 species
GCCCGGGUGGCGGAAUUGGUAGACGCGCAUGAUUCAGGGUCAUGUCCUCGCAAGAGGGUGCGGGUUCGACUCCCGCCUCGGGCACCA